AUGGUCGACUGGUGGCCGAGGUCGUACCUGAGUAGGCGAGGGGGCGCGCCCAACGCGCGGCGAAGGGAUGGUCGCGCCGCAGAGGAAGAGGCCCUCGCCGGAGCAGCGCGGAGAAGAGAAGCGGACGAGCGGAGCAUCGACCUGGCGGCGGCGGCGGCCAUCGUGGCUGGCUUGGUGAGACGGGAGGAGGAGAGGGGAGAUGGUUUCCGGCUAGCUUGCGCUCGAGUCACACAAACUGAAGGAACCAAUGUGGGUGGGCCUUUCAUAGGUCUGCUCGGUCCAUUUCUUCUUGGGCUGUGUGAGAAGGGCCCAAUGGGCUCUUAA
rnacentral:rRNA from 1 species